AUUAAAUUCUAAUGUUUUUUGCAAAUCAAGAAGCUUAAUAAGUAUGAAAAAAUGUGCUAAGUGCAUCGAACAUGUAUACUUCUAUUUUGCAACAACAUAUAAAUUGUAAUGUGACAUGCAAUAAACGUUUUUGAAUUUGAAUUUGAACAUGUCACGAGCGUAUCCUGGCUAAAAUUCCUAAUAAGCAUUGUGCGAGGAGCACCCUCCCAGUGCUGGAUUUUUGUUCGGCAAAAUCACCCUGUGCUCGUACUGGUGAUAUUUAAAAAAUAAUCCGACCUUGGUUCUCUAGCCGGUCACUUCAAGCAAAAUCAAAACAUAAUAAUAUCUUUAUUUGCUUAGACUGAUUAAAUUAGUUCUUACAAAUCGUCAAAUACUAAUAAAACAAAAAGCCAAGGAUUCCAAAUCAGUCCCUUCAGGUCCCCUUGACGACCAAUAAGUCAAAUGACCAUCCACUCGGCAAAUUCUAUGGAAGCUGCCUUUGAGCGUACCGGCCUAUCUUGGGCAUUGGCAGGCGUCAUCAUUCUGCGGAGGUCAACCUUUUACCUGACAACGGUUCCAGGGAUGCGUCUGCCAUUCACCUCCAAGCCGAUGCUUGCCCCUGCAACGCCGUGCUUUAUUCAGCGUCUUAACACUCUUGACUGUCUAGCGCUGACCAAAUAAGAAUAGCAAAGUCAAGUGACUUUCCACUCAGCAAAUUCUACGGAGGCUGCCUUUGAGCGUAUCUUAGGCAGUGGUAGGCGUCAUCAGACUGCGGAGGUCAACCUGUUACCUGACAAUGGUUCCAGGGAUGCGUCUGCCAUUCACCUCCAAGCCAGUGCUUGCCCCUGCACCUGCAACGCCGUGCUUUAUUCAGCGUCUCAACACUCUUGACUGUCUAGCGCUGACCAAAUAAGAAUAGCAAAGUCAAGUGACUUUCCACUCAGCAAAUUCUACGGAGGCUGCCUUUGAGCGUAUCUUAGGCAGUGGCAGGCGUCAUCAGACUGCGGAGGUCAACCUGUUACCUGACAAUGGUUCCAGGGAUGCGUCUGCCAUUCACCUCCAAGCCGGUGCUUGUCCCUUCAACGCCGUGCUUUAUUCAGCGUUUUAACACUCUUGACUGUCUAACGCUGACCAAAUAAACCGAAAUCCUGUUAAAA